AGUCAAGUAAUUAAGUGCAUGUGGUGGAUGCCUUGGCAGUCAGAGGCGAUGAAAGACGUGAUAGCCUGCGAAAAGCUCCGGGGAGGCGGCAAAUAUCCUUUGAUCCGGAGAUGUCUGAAUGGGGGAACCCACCUACUUUAAGGUAGGUAUUGCAACAUGAAUACAUAGUGUUGCAAGGCGAACGAGGGGAAGUGAAACAUCUCAGUACCCUUAGGAAAAGAAAUCAAUUGAGAUUCCCUCAGUAGCGGCGAGCGAACGGGGAUCAGCCCAUUAAGUUAUGUGUGUUUUAGUGGAACGCUCUGGGAAGUGCGAACGUAGAGGGUGAUAUUCCCGUACACGAAAGGGCACACAUAAUGAUGACGAGUAGGGCGAGGCACGUGAAACCUUGUCUGAAUAUGGGGGGACCAUCCUCCAAGGCUAAAUACUCCUGACUGACCGAUAGUGAACCAGUACCGUGAGGGAAAGGCGAAAAGAACCCCUGUGAGGGGAGUGAAAUAGAUCCUGAAACCGCAUGCAUACAAGCAGUGGGAGCACCUUCGUGGUGUGACUGCGUACCUUUUGUAUAAUGGGUCAGCGACUUAUAUUCAGUAGCGAGGUUAACCGUAUAGGGGAGCCGUAGAGAAAUCGAGUCUUAAUAGGGCGUUUAGUUGCUGGGUAUAGACCCGAAACCAGGCGAUCUAUCCAUGAGCAGGUUGAAGGUUGGGUAACACUAACUGGAGGACCGAACCCACUGUCGUUGAAAAGCCAGGGGAUGACUUGUGGAUAGGGGUGAAAGGCUAAUCAAGCCUGGUGAUAGCUGGUUCUCCCCGAAAGCUAUUUAGGUAGCGCCUCGGACGAAUACCAUAGGGGGUAGAGCACUGUUUCGGCUAGGGGGUCAUCCCGACUUACCAAACCGAUGCAAACUCCGAAUACCUAUGAGUACUAUCCGGGAGACAGACUGCGGGUGCUAACGUCCGUAGUCAAGAGGAAAACAAUCCAGACCGCCAGCUAAGGCCCCAAAAUCAUAGUUAAGUGGGAAACGAUGUGGGAAGGCAUAGACAGCU
rnacentral:rRNA from 1 species